rnacentral:rRNA from 1 species
CGAACGCGAAAGUUCCCGUUCGGGGAGCGAGUAGAGUGGCGAAAGGGUGAGUAAUGCUUGGAUGACCUGCCCUCGAGACGGGGACAACAGUUCGAAAGGACUGCUAAUACCCGAUAGUCCGGUUUAGAUGCGUCUAGAUCGGUAAAUGGUGCUUCCGCUCGAGGAGGGGUUCAAGUCCUAUCAGCUUGUUGGUGAGGUAACGGCUCACCAAGGCGAUGACGGGUAGCCGGACUGAGAGGUUGGCCGGCCACAUGGGAACUGAGACACUGUCCUGACUCCUACGGGAGGCUGCAGUCGAGAAUCUUCUGCAAUGGGCGAAAGCCUGACAGAGCGACGCCGCGUGGAGGAUGAAGGCCCUCGGGUCGUAAACUCCUGUCACAUGUUAUGAAACGCACAGGUCUACCUGUGCGCUGACAAAAGCAUGAGAGGAAGUCACGGCUAACUUCGUG